UGGUGGAAGUCAGUUGCAUGCAUCUGGCUGCAGAAUAUUAGCAGGAUGGGAAGGUACAGGGAGGGAAUCACAGCCUGUACACCUAGGAACAAGCAGCUUUGCUAUGCCAUGCCCUGCAGCAACAUCCAGACCAACAGAUUCUCCUCAACUAUGCAUGUAUUAGUCAUACAGUUUAUUAUCUAUUUGGAUGCAAGAGCUAGCAAAUGAGGACGAAAGCUUAAGGGGGGUGGGAUCCCAUUUACAAACACAUCAAUGACAUCCUUGUUUCCUGCACUGGACGGAUCUUUUAAUAUAAGAACAUGCUUUUUAUUAUACCAUUCCAUCUCCAGGGAUAUCUGUUUUCUGUACAGAGUUCAGCAGCUGAGAAGCCAAAGGCGAGAUUUGACAUUGAAUGGUGAUGACAUCUUCAGACCGAGCAGCCGACAAGUGUGAAGAAUGAUUUUGUUAUCUAGAACACUACGAAAAGUCUCAUUCCUAGCACCCUGGAUGACCCUUCUGUGCUGCUAUUCUCCGUGUAAUGAUAUAGGCAUUUCUUAUGGCCAAAGUACAGUGAAUGAUUGAGCAUCUCUAUCAGAUAUGAAGCAUGAACCCACCUGCAGAAAUCAUACUCCUCUUGGUAAAGUGAUGCAACUAUUUAGAAGCUAUUUUUCUGUUCAAAAGAAGCCAUUAAUUAAGGAGCCAUAUUAAGCCAUAUUAAGGAGCCAUAGUAAACUGGUAUGUGGAUCAGACUCGAGCCCUUCUUUGCUUAUUUCAGGCAAUCUUUAUCUCUCUCUUAAAGCUUUUUGCGGUCUGGGCUUGCUGUUCUUAAUCAAAGUAGCCAGGAAGCCCUUAUCCCAAAAAGAAUUUGCGAGGGAGGACUUUCAACACAAGAGAAUGAUGUGUGCUGACAAGCUGACAACUACAAAUGACAACCUUGGAACCAUCAAUGUUAAUGGCGAUGUUUAUGUGAAUAUUUUGCCUCCGUCUUUACACGUGUUUUUUUUUCCAUCUUAAAUUAUUCAAUAAAAGUAAUUGUAAUAAAUAAGUGAAGCAGUAUUGUUGCACUGUAAUGUGAUGGAGGACAAGAUGGUAGGCAUGGGGUUGGGUGGUCAUAACCCCACAAGAUCAAACAGAUCAAAAUGUAGACAACACAGUUAGCAGUGGUUUGCUUCAACACAAGAUAGUUUAAUUAGUAAGUGGCAACUGGAUUAAAGGGUCAAAAGUUUUU